UACGGAGGGUGCGAGCGUUAAUCGGAAUUACUGGGCGUAAAGGGUGCGUAGGUGGCCUGCUGAGUCCGAUGUGAAAGCCCUGGGCUUAACCUGGGAAUGGCAUUGGAUACUGGUGGGCUUGAGUGUGGCAGAGGGUCGUGGAAUUCCCGGUGUAGCGGUGAAAUGCGUAGAGAUCGGGAGGAACACCCGUGGCGAAGGCGGCGACCUGGGCCAACACUGACGCUGAGGCACGAAAGCGUGGGGAGCAAACAGG
rnacentral:rRNA from 1 species